AACUCGACCAAGGUCACAGGUAAGCUGGGAACCCAACCUUCUGCAGGCAGUUCUUGCCCUUGGGCCAGUACGUUUUUCAGAAUGCGAGGAGGUGAUGAUUAUGGUGAAGUAAUCUAUCUACAUGACUUGGGGUUUUCACUGUUGUCAAAGCGUGGAGCUUCGUUUCCAAAAGGAUCCGGGGUAGUCAUCUGCCAGCUUUGUUCAAACUUGUGAACAAGAGCGUUCGACAAAACUCACCCCUCAUUAAUUUGACUCUUCCCAGCAAUGGGAAAGGUCUCUAGAAAUCCUUCUCUGAACUGCACUCAAAAUGAGGGAGCUAAGCUGAAAGCGACUUUGGGAAAGGGGUCCUGGUGCAAGCCUCUAGCUACGUAUGCCAUCUUCGGUUGCAGCACCGUGCGGGGUGCCCAGAUCAGAAACCAGCCAAGGUGGCAGAGUCUGUAGGAAGAGCCAAAGACUGAAGUGGGACAGCGCCUACCAAAACUACACACAGGCACUUAAAGGGCUGCUCUCACGUGACCCAGCGCCUCGCAUCCGGGCCGCGCACGGACCGGCAGUACCCCUGAGUCACCUCGGCUGCAGCAGCAGGAUCGGGACCCGUCGCAACUGGUUCCUGUCCACCGCAGCCAACAACGCCGCCGCCGCCAUCUCCGCGCUGUUCUGCUGGAUUCCAAAAGCUGCUUGGCUUAUUCUUGAAAGCGUCCCUCCCUGCGCAAGCUUCUUGUCCCCGAUCCGCCACCGUAGCUCCGAAGAGCAAGUAGGCGUCUCCGCAAGAGCCAAUCACAAAACUGGGUGUUUCAAGCUAGAUUGUCCUUGCUGCGUGAGACCCACCUGCUACAGUUGAGAAAGAAUGGAGCGAGGCCAGCUCAAUAUCACAGAUGCUGGAAGGCUGCCAAGCCACUCACAGACUUGACUUCAAUUUCCAUUGGAAAGCACACAGAGAAGACAGUAGCUGACCACAUCUGAGCUAGUGCCCUUUGCAGUGGGCUGAGCCCGGCUACUGCCUAAGCAGAAAUUCAACUCAACAAGGCAAACUGAGACAAGUGAGUAGACAUACAACAAACAAGAGUGUGCCUGAUAAAGUCCUGCACACAAAUACCCCAACCAAACCUCCCCGAAAACAGUGCCACUAACUGGGAAACAAAUGGUCAAGUAUGGGGGAACAUUUCUUAUUCAAAACAUUGUCAAUUGGUGAAUAUGGGUUAUUGAAAUCACCCACUUUUACUGUGUUUGGAUCAAUCUGUGGUUUUAGAUCUACCAGUUCUUCUUUUAUGAAAUGGGGUGGCCCUGUAUUUGAUGUACACGUGUUUAUUAUUGUAGUGUACGGUUGGUAGAUUUCCUUUUUCUUUGAGGAGAAUGAAGAAUCUCUCUGCCUUUGUUUGGGUUUUACUGCUGUGAACAGAUACCAUGAUCAAGGCAACUAUUACAAGGACAACAUUUAAUUGGAGUUGGCUUGCAGAUUCAGAGGUUCAGUCCAUUAUUAUCAAGGUGGGAGCAUGGCAGUGCCCAGUCAGGAAUGGCACUGGAGGAGCUGAGAAUUCAACAUCUUGUUCUGAAGGCAAACAGCUGAAGACUGGCUUCCAGGCAGCUAGGAUGUAGGUCUUAAAGCCCAAGCCCGCAGGGACACACCUGCUCCAACAAGGCCACACCUCCUAAUAGUGUCACUCCCUGGGCCAAGCAUAUACAAACCAUCACAUGCUCCUUACCUCUUUUGGCUAGUUUUGGUUUGAAGUCUGGUUUAUCAGACAUUAGAAUAUAUUUACAAUUUAGUUUCUUUUGUUUUGAAUACUUUUUUUUUGCAUCUUUUACUCUAAAGUGAUGUCUAUUUUGAUAUGAGGCAUGUUUCUUAGAGGCAGAAAAAAAUAGAUCCCAUUUCUUAAUCCAAUCUUUUAAUCAGUCAAUUGCUGUCAUUUUGUUAAUUUUGUAAAGUUUUCUCAUAUCUUGUUGGAUUCCCUGCCAUGACACUGUUUAUUUCAUUUCUGUGACUGCUUGACUGUGUUUAUCCUUCUUUUCAGCAUUCCUUCUGGUCACCCCCUGUAGAGCUGGCUUAGUAGUAGUAAAGUCCUUUUAUCCGUUGUAUGGAAAGAUUUUAUUUUUCCUUCAAUUCUCGGGGAUAGUUUUGCUGAGUAUAGUAGUCUGGGUUGGGUAAUAUUAACUUUUUUCUAAAAAUUGGAAAUGUUCUUCAUUUUCUGCUUUAUGGAAUACUUAAGGAGUAUUAGUGUUAAUUCCUUUUUUUGAAUAUGUGGUAGAAUUUUGAGCUAAAUCCAUCUGGCCCUGAACAUUUUAUUAAUUUAGAGAUUUUUAAGUAUCAUUUGUAACCCACUGGUGCCAUGUUCCUAUCUAAAUUAUUUCUUUUUUUUUUAAUCUUGAUUCAGCUCUGUUACCCCAUAUACAUGUGGAAAUUGAUCCAUUUCUUUUAGAUGUUCUGGUUUGAUGGGAUAAAGAUUUUUAAAGUAUGUAAUUACAACUGUCUGUCGGUUGCAAUCUCUCCCCUUUUAUCCCUAAUUUUGUAAAGUUAGAUUAAAAUGUGUUGACAAUAGCUGUUGUACCAGUAUAUUGAGUUGAUAUUUAUACUUUAGAAUGUUCAUGGAUUAAUAAUAAUUGGCAAAUAAGCCAUCACUAAGUUGACAUUUAACUCCACGAAAAGUAUUAACACUUUGUUUCUUUGCUGCCUUAACAACCAACAUUGAAGAAGUCUAAGUGCAUAAAACUUUGUGAUAAAUGUGUUCACCUGUGAUAUUUACUUAAAAAUACAGAUCCAAAUAUAGUUUAAAAUAUUAAAUUUUUACUAAUAAUUGUAAGACCCUCUUUCGGGGACCCCCACUCUAGUCUCAGAAGAGAGAGCGCACCCAAAGAAACACGAGAAUCCUUCUUGCUGUAAACACACGAGGUAGUUUAAUGGCGGAGCUCCUUGUCAAAAUGUAUCGCAGGAGACAGUGGAUUUGACGACAAGGCUCAAAAGCUAGAGGUUUUUAUGGGUUAAAGGGCUUAGGGGUGGGGAAUUCAGCAUAGAGACACACUAUUGGCUUAUUCAAACAUCAGCAGAAAAAUUACAUGUACGUGCAGAUCAGGGUGUCAGAGUUCUGUGAGUUGGAUGUUUAUCAAUGCUGACUCAGUUCAGAUAGCCCUGUUANNNNNNNNNNNNNNNNNNNNNNNNNNNNNNNNNNNNNNNNNNNNNNAUGCUUUAACUACAGGGCAUACCCGGGUUUGUUUUUCUUUGUUCUCAGCCCCAGGCAGCCUCUAGGCUCACAAACAACCAGCAAUUUCUGAGUACUUUAUAUGUCUUACAGGUCUUAAAAUUUCAUCUUUCUUUCAUAAUCUCUGAUACAAAAAUAUUCUUUAAUGUUUAACCUAUAUAUUGGAAAAUAAUCAAAAAAUUUUAUGAAUAGCCAAGUAACAUAUUAAAGUAAAUUUUAUAUUUCAAAUUACACACACACACACACACACACACACACACACACACACACACACACAUUUAUAUUAAAAUCUCUACAUGUUCUGAUAGGUUGUCUAGGAAGACUCUAGCUUCAUAGAUGAGUAAACUCUAGAGGAGAAGUUCUACGGAGUCCAGAUUCAGAUUCAUCAGGAACUGCAAAGAAAACAUUCUCUGUGUUAAAGACUUUAUAGUGAAUUGACAAUGAGUUAGUUUUAAAAAAUUAAAAGAAUUCAUCAGUGUUAAUGAAGAUGGACCUAACAUGUCCCACUGGUGCAACAGUGACAUGCCUGCUUUCUGAUUGGAUUUGAGGUCUGUCCAUAGGAGGAAACUGGGUUCCUGGUACUGUAAUCCUGGUCAAAAGCCUGUGGCUGGUAUCUAAGUUAGGGUUACUAGUGCUGAAACAUGAAACAUCAUGACCAAAGCAACUUUGGAAAGGAAAGGGUUUAUUUGGCUUCUACUUCUCAUCACUGUUUUACAACUGAAGGAGGUAAGGACAGGAACUCGGGCAGGACUGGGACCUCGAGGCAGGCGCUGAUGCAGAGGCCAUGGAGGGGUGCUGCUUACUGGCUUAUUCCUUGUGGGUUGCUUAGCAUGCUUUCUUAUAGAACUGAGGACUACCAGUCUGGGACUGACACUAUCCGCAAUCGAUUGGCUGGGUAGUGGAUCAAUCACUGCCCCAUCCAUCACUAACUGAAAAAAAAAUGUCUUACCUUACUUACAGUGCAAUAUUAUGGAGGCAUUUUGUUGCUGGGAACCUGCCCAGCCUUGAAUGGGCUUGAAGAGGGACACAGUGUCAAACAUUGCUUUAAAGACUGAUGGUCUCUGGCCCGCUAGCUCUCUAACUAUACUGAGUGCUUGCUGAUAACUUCAAAAAGCUUAUAAAAACUUUCUUGCUUACUCUAUGGUUUAAAAACAUGGGCUUUUUUUAUUUCCCUCUUUAACUCUGUGCUUUCUUAAACAUUAUAGCUCUCUGUGCUUUAUUUAACUCUUUAUGCUUAAAUAAACAGUGGAGAAACUU
ensembl:antisense Mccc1os methylcrotonoyl-Coenzyme A carboxylase 1 (alpha), opposite strand